rnacentral:tRNA from 1 species
GAAGGUGUUGCUCAAGUGGCAGAGCGUGUGCUUAGCAGGCACGAGGUCUGGGGUUCAAUCCCCAGUCCCUCCA